rnacentral:pre_miRNA from 1 species
AAUAACCUUAUUUUUUGUUUUUCUGUAUCUAAUGUUUCACUAUUCGUUUUAUUUAAUAUUUUACGAUUAAUAUUUUUAUUGUUACUAGAUGAUAUAAAAUAUAAAUAAUACUUUAUACGUGACUAAUUUUUUAAGUUUUUUAUAAAUUUUUCAAAUAAGACGAAUGAUAAAAUGUUGGAUAUGGAAAAAAAUAGAU